rnacentral:rRNA from 1 species
CAUGGGGGCAGCCAAUCGUUUAUGCCGCGAUCUGUGAGAAGGCCUUCGGGUUUGUAAAGCACUUUUGUCCGGAAAGAAAUCAUCGGGGCUAAUAUCCCUGGUGGAUGACGGUACCGGAAGAAUAAGCACCGGCUAACUACGUGCCAGCAGCCGCGGUAAUACGUAGGGUGCGAGCGUUAAUCGGAAUUACUGGGCGUAAAGCGUGCGCAGGCGGUGCUGUAAGACCGAUGUGAAAUCCCCGGGCUUAACCUGGGAACUGCAUUGGUGACUGCAGCGCUGGAGUAUGGCAGAGGGGGGUGGAAUUCCACGUGUAGCAGUGAAAUGCGUAGAGAUGUGGAGGAACACCGAUGGCGAAGGCAGCCCCCUGGGCCAAUACUGACGCUCAUGCACGAAAGCGUGGGGAGCAAACAGGAUUAGAUACCCUGGUAGUCCACGCCCUAAACGAUGUCAACUGGUUGUUGGGGAUUCAUUUCCUUAGUAACGUAGCUAACGCGUGAAGUUGACCGCCUGGGGAGUACGGUCGCAAGAUUAAAACUCAAAGGAAUUGACGGGGACCCGCACAAGCGGUGGAUGAUGUGGAUUAAUUCGAUGCAACGCGAAAAACCUUACCUACCCUUGACAUGUACGGAACCCUGCCGAGAGGUGGGGGUGCCCGAAAGGGAGCCGUAACACAGGUGCUGCAUGGCUGUCGUCAGCUCGUGUCGUGAGAUGUUGGGUUAAGUCCCGNCAACGAAGCGCAACCCUUGUCCCCAGUUGCUACGCAAGAGCACUCCGGGGAGACUGCCGGUGACAAACCGGAGGAAGGUGGGGAUGACGUCAAGUCCUCAUGGCCCUUAUGGGUAGGGCUUCACACGUCAUACAAUGGUCGGAACAGAGGGUUGCGAAGCCGCGAGGUGGAGCCAAUCCCAGAAAACCGAUCGUAGUCCGGAUCGCAGUCUGCAACUCGACUGCGUGAAGCUGGAAUCGCUAGUAAUCGCGGAUCAGCAUGCCGCGGUGAAUCCGUUCCCGGUGUCUUGUACACACCGCGCCGUCACACCAUGGGAGGUGGUGUUUUGCCAAAAGGUGGCUAGUCUACACCGCAGAGGAGGACUGGUCACCAGCGGCGGUGAUUCAAUGACGUGGUGGUGAACGUCUGUAACAGGUGGUAACGCGUGUGGCUCACGAAGCGCAACGCGUGGGCGGCAAAGAGAGGGAAGAAGACCAUAAACAAAGACAAGCAAAAGGAAUCAAAUACCAACAU